rnacentral:rRNA from 1 species
AAUAGAUACCCAGGUAGUCCACGCCGUAAACGAUGAGUGCUAAGUGUUAGAGGGUUUCCGCCCGUUUAGUGCUGCAGCUAACGCAUUAAGCACUCCGCCUGGGGAGUACGGCCGCAAGGCUGAAACUCAAAGGAAUUGACGGGGGCCCGCACAAGCGGUGGAGCAUGUGGUUUAAUUCGAAGCAACGCGAAGAACCUUACCAGGUCUUGACAUCCUCUGCCAACCCUAGAGAUAGGGCGUUCCCCUUCGGGGGACAGAGUGACAGGUGGUGCAUGGUUGUCGUCAGCUCGUGUCGUGAGAUGUUGGGUUAAGUCCCGCAACGAGCGCAACCCUUGAUCUUAGUUGCCAGCAUUCAGUUGGGCACUCUAAGGUGACUGCCGGUGACAAACCGGAGGAAGGUGGGGAUGACGUCAAAUCAUCAUGCCCCUUAUGACCUGGGCUACACACGUGCUACAAUGGAUGGUACAAAGAGCAGCGAACCCGCGAGGGUAAGCCAAUCUCAUAAAGCCAUUCUCAGUUCGGAUUGUAGG